AUCGCUUCCCGGCCUUCUGGCUAAGAUCAAGUGUAGUAUCUCUUCUUAUCAGUUUCAUGCCGGUUCCCGAAUGACGCUGGUUUUGGGCUGUUGGGAAUGGGUGCUGCAUGGAGGGGGCAGGGGUACAGGGGUGUUCCGGGGCUGGUUCUGAGGAAUCAGCUCGACGGUUGCUCUGAUGUGACCUGUU